UAAUAAUCAAGAAGAACUAAAGAGUAAAGACACAGCGAAGCAGACGUGCCUCUCUGGGCUUCCGAGUCUGAGGCGACGAUCUCUCCGGGGACGCCGAGAAACGCCGCGCAUUGCUCGUCAUCCGCCACCGCCCGCCCUCCGGACUCGUCGGCGAUCAUCAAACUCCGUCGCAUCAUUCGCUUCGAGGCGUCGCGGCGCAGGGAGCUGGCGGUUCCCGUCGUUCGGGUCUCAUUCUUUCCUCGUUUCUUACUUACUUUUGCUUCUGUAGGGGGUUGCGAUUGGUUGACGUUUCCGGCGAGAUGUUUCGCUCGCCGUUCUCUGCUGCUUACUCUAGCCACCUUGGGAAUGUGAUUUAGGGAGCGGUCUUUCUGGGUUGAGCUUAGCGAAGCGCUGUUUGUUGCUCUUUUGGAGUUUGGGGUAUCUGAUGGAGUAGCGUCGUGUGAAAUUUAGUUGUAGAAGUCGAGGGACUGGACAAGCGGGGGUUGCAGAAACUUGGCAUUAAGGGGUUCUGAGGUAAACUCGAUAUCAGGAUUGUGGUUGAAUUUUCACAGGCUCUUAAUAUGUAUGACCGCUGAAAAUGCGCCGACCGCCAACCGGCUAGGGGUGAGUUAGGGGCCCUCCAGCCCCCCCUACAGGUCCAUCACCGGACCAUAGUAGAAAAUUUUCUCCCGGACAGAGGGUACGAUGUAGAUUUAUAGAAAAUAUUACCCAUGGUUAGAUAUCAUGCGACCCUUCCUUCGCUUGAUCUUUGAAUUUUGCUUCCGUUUCAUGGGGUGUGGUAGAUGAGACAUUCUUUACGCUCAUUGGAACUGGAGACUUUGUUGCUUGAAAAAUAGUAGUUUUGACGAUACGGGCAAUAGUCCAGUCAUUUGAUGUAUUGCUGGGAAUGGUUCGUAUCUGAAAGUUGAAUGGCAUUGGGAAUAAAUGGUCAUUUUGGUAUCAGGCAAUUCCAGGAGGUGGAGGUAGCCAUCUCGAACUGCCAAUUCCUUAGGCGGCAAAAAUCCCUUAGGCAUUGAGUCAUCAGUCAUGACUUUCUGAGGAUCAUUAGGCGGUGAAAAUCCCUUAGGCAUUGACUCAUCAGUCCUGACUUUCCGAGGAUCAUUGAUCUUGGUGUAAAACUAAAGUAGGUUAGGCCUGAGAAUUCUUACUCGUGCGUUAGAUAAGAAGCCUCAAGUUUGACCAAGGAGUCACCUACUAACUAUGUAGGAAGCAGGAAUUCGAUCAAAUCAAUAUACAAAACGAACAUUCUUGUUCUUCCUUACUUCUGGUUAAGAUGGCCAUGUGUAAGGAUGUGUCCCUUGGAUUCUGUUGGAAAUGAGGAUGCUCAUCUACUUUUCAGGUUUUUUUUCUUGUUGCGUGUUGCUGACUGGUUGCACUUUUGCCUGGUGAUGUUGCUUCCAGGUUGCCAUUUUGAAGGAGGAUCUUUUCUGAAUUUUACUUUGGAUUGUUUCAGUCUCUUCCUUUGUCCUUGAUCCUUUUGUCGCUAUAUUCCACACUAUGUUAAACCUUUGGUCAGGAAGCUAGAAUUGGCAAUGUAGGAGUUGUUCAUGGACCUUAUGAUGCAACUUUCUGUUUCACGACUUGCGUUGAGCUGAAGGUUGAUCAAUCUAACGUUUGAGAGGGAGGUUAGAAAAUCUUAGCCUGUCACUAUCAUCUUGGAUUAGAUAAGUAGAACAUGGCAUGGAAGUAAGUGCAAGAAAGAGCAUCCAGCAGAAAAACACACAUCAAGAAACAGAGAGCAAUAGGGCAAUCAGUUCUUGAACCAGGGAUGGAAUUUAUUUUUGAAACCGGUUUAUAUUGGUCAGUUAUUUGACAUGUAUGUUCUGCGAGUACCGUGACUAAUUUCCACAGAGAGAAAGUGUGCAGCACAAGGUGUAACAAUUGUCAAUCAAAAAAAUUCUUAUUCGUUCUAUGAGCUUUAAAUUUUUUUUGCAGCACAACAUUAAUUUAGCUUCCAUCAUUAUAACAUUGAUACUAUUGCUGAUGGUGACGUCUGUGACUUCAAAUGCAAUGCAUGCUCAUGGGCAUCGCAUUCUUAAUACAUGCGACAAGGACAUUGAUGUAUCGUGGGGGAUGUCGGCAGAGGUUGUCACAUCUCCAUCUUACAUUACAUCGUUGGAAAUUUGUUCAUAACGUGGUAACCACCACUACAUAGUUCUUAGUUGGAUUGGGGACUGUUGAAAGUUUUUCAUGGCUACUCUGUUGUGAGGCAGGAAAUUGUUUUAUCCCCGUGGUGGUUUCCACCAAUGGAGCAUCGCUUGUGAGAUUGGCAAUGCCUCUCUGGAUGGUAGAGCUGCUUCAAGCUGGACAAGAUGCUUUUCUGGAGAUACUAUUGCCUCAGGGAAUAGGACUGGGAAUUUUUUAAAGAAGGGUACCUCGGAGACUAUUGGAUUGUCUCAGGGGCACUUAUUACUUAGCGUGCUUAACAUUGGAUUCUCCGGAGCUACGAUUUGUUCUCACAUUUCUUGCUCUUACUGUGUUAUCAGUCAUAGUUCAAACCAGGUUCUGACUAGCUGUUUAGUUCAAAAUCUAUGCCUGUUAGCUAUCAUGUGGCAGUACACCUGUUUUUUUUAUCAUGAAAGUGAUAGCUGCCUUUUACAUGGCUUGGCUCAAUGACUGGAAAACCUGUAAGUGGUCAUUCUUUGGAGGUUUAACGCCUCCUACCUAACGGCAUAGAUCUCUCAAGGCCUCUAUUCGAAUGAUUAACCCAAUCUUGAAGGCUAUAUAUGAGUUAACGAGAGAAAGAGCACUGAAAUGAUGAAAAUAUUCUGAUAACUGUAUGAAUGUAGGACUUUCCAUUGUUGAAUGAAGAAGAAAUUCCAAUUCCCCAUGUCUUCUCCCCCUCUUGAUUGCUAUAUAUUCGUGGGUGAAAACAGUGAUCCAACGCAACUGUGCACUGAAACGAUGCUAGUUGUGGAACUUUCAUUUACCUUAAUUGUAUAUUUUCAUGUCGAAGUUGAUGCGAGACAUAUGCUGGACCCUUCUCACAAAAUUCGCGAAGCUGCCAGGGCGGUGGCCCCGCACUAACAUGUGAUUAAUCCGCAGAUGGAGGAAUAUGUAGCCUAGAUUUUGAGUAUGAUAUCAGCAGUCGCGUUCUUGCCUCACAGCUCUCUUGUGACGAUGAUUAUUCAUCCGGGUCAUUAACAUGCUUUAAAUGCAAAGGAUUUUGUCCCAUCUCAUCUGCUCCUGUCGGUGAUUCAAUAUGGAUAAUUUGAAGGGACUUAAUAACGAACUAGUGCGUUUUAAGCCGCAAAUUUUGUUUGGAGCCCCCAUCUAUCUUGAAUGCAUCAUAUUGAAGGGGUCCUGGUCUCUGAGGAAUGGAACGGUUCAGUAUCAGAAGCAGAUGGUCUUUUAUGGCAGAGUACAGCGCGUGGGCCCGAAUUAUAUAGCUCAUGCGGAUGGUUAUACUGGGCCAAAAGGGAGGCCCUCAUCGCUAAUCAAUUUGGGAACAGAAGAGAGAAAGGGACUUGAAGAAGGUAUUGACUCCCUGGUGAUGUCAUAUAUUUCCAGGACCAGUGUGACUCAAUCAUUGUAUUCAUGCUCUCUUUCUUCAAUGUCUGUCCUUGUCUCCCUCCCUGUGUAAGCUGUGGCUACAUCCACACUGUGCACGAGAGGUUCAUUGUGUCCAUUCUGUACUUGGGUGCCUAGAAUCCUCUAUUUCAUUAAUUGGCUUUAGGACUUCGGCUUCUUUUGCUCGGGAAAUAUCUACAAAUUGAGGGCCUUGUUUUUUC